AACGAACGCUGGCGGCAUGCCUAACACAUGCAAGUCGAACGAGACCUUCGGGUCUAGUGGCGCACGGGUGCGUAACGCGUGGGAACCUGCCCUUAGGUUCGGAAUAACUCCCCGAAAGGGGUGCUAAUACCGGAUAAUGUCUUCGGAUCAAAGAUUUAUCGCCUUUGGAUGGGCCCGCGUUGGUUUAGCUAGUUGGUAGGGUAAAAGCCUAUCAAGGCGACGAUCCAUAGCUGGUCUGAGAGGAUGAUCAGCCACACUGGGACUGAGACACGGCCCAGACUCCUACGGGAGGCAGCAGUGGGGAAUAUAGGACAAUGGGCGAAAGCCUGAUCCAGCAAUGCCGCGUAAGUGAUGAAGUCCGUAGGGUUGUAAAGCUCGUUUACCCGGGAUGAUAAUGACAGUACCGGGAGAAUAAGCUCCGGCUAACUCCGUG
rnacentral:rRNA from 1 species